AAAAGAAAAAAAGGGAGAUCCAGUAUUUGCCACAGAUCUGCAGUGACAAAAUGGGAUGGGGAAGGAGAUGAUGGCAGAAAGGCAAGAUGGAUGAAGUGCUCUGCAGUCUGCCAGAGGAUGCAGCAGUGGGUCACUGACACACGCAGCUCACAAAGUAUCGCCCAUAAUGUGCAGCAGCUAGUUUUCUAAAAUUACUUCUGCAGCACCAGCCAGAUUUGCAGUCACUUUUCUGAAGAUUGGAACAUAAGUGUCACCAGGCUACCAGAGGGUGACCUGUCUUUAGUUCCUUGCUCUGCUCGCUGUAAUUGCUUCUUCAGAGUAAUGUUACACCGUGAGCGCGGCUCUGCAGCCGGGGAUGGCUCCCUGGCAGUGAUAAGGACAGAGCAGAGCAGCGUCUGGCUCUGA
rnacentral:lncRNA from 1 species